UUCUGAAAUGGAAAAUUCCAGAUAUUCUCCAUUCCUGUUUCAAAUAUGCAUCACUGUGGCAUCAUUAUGACCAAUCUCCCCACCAAGAGAAACUGACAGGAGCAAAAGUUGGUUUUGGCUCAUGAUUUCAGAGGUCUGAGUCCAAUCUGGGAUGGCCCCAUGGCUCUGGGUCUCAGCGAAGGCAGAACAAAAUGGCGGACAGGCUUGGUGGAGGAAAGCUUCUUCACUCAGGGAAGACAGGAAGCAGCAGAAAUAAAACACAGGAGUCGAUGCAAAAUACAAAAUCUAACUCUCUCAUCUAUCUUCUUCCUAGUAAUGAAAAUAUCUAAGAAAGAAAACCAGAGUGGAAACAUUUUUUUCCAAAGACAGCCAAAGACUUGAAAAUGACCCUUUGGUCAACAAUGGGCCACCUAUCUCCUCUGGUUCCUUCCACCGAAUUCCUACUGUCCAGUGCCGUCCUACUGGGAGGGUUUCAGCCUAACAUGGUUGAGAGCAAAAUCAUGAAAAGAUAAGACCUGUUCCCUGCAGAACAUAAACAUCUUAUGUUGGCGCUGGGAUAUGGACAGAUACAACCAGAAGGUGGCUGUCUGCAAACCAGGAAUAGAGUCCUUACCACAGACAACAUCCACCAGCAAUUGGAUCUUGGACUCUUCAGCCUCCAGAACUGCGUAUAAUACUUCCACGUAUUGUGUGAAAAUCGAAUGGAGAUAUAGAGCAUCUUCAUCUCCUCACACAUUCAUCAUUCCUUGGUGAAGGAAAUGAGAAAACAAGUGGCUUCCCACUGGCUUUGGAAGUUCUGUCCAGAAUAAGACUCAUCAUUUUCACACGUGUGUCUGGGAACCAGAGAUGAGGGGAGAACACCCAUCAAUGAGGAACGGAGAGGUGCGGUCUACAUCCGUGGAUGAAGGAACCGCAUCAUAAACUGUUGUGAGUUUUUUGAGGGCCGUUAAAAAAAUGAGCACAAACAUGGCGGCUUGGCACCACCCCAAUCUGAUGAUCUUGCACCUUGAGAUGUUCCAAGUGCAUGGAUCUCACUUAGCCAAGAUGGACAGGUGGGCUGGUGGGUGCCUUCCUACAGAUUCAGGAGAACCAUUCAUCUUCUCAACGCUCCACCUGUCAUUCCCUGGUUCCAUGUUCUUCUUCUCCGCCAUCUUGGCCAACGACGUUGCAUGGAUUAAACCAUCUUUUCAGCAUUCCUUAUUCUUCAAAUUCUUGAGGAGUCCCAUGUCCUGAUGUCACCAUGUUUUGACCACAGUGAAUUUUUUUUUUGAAAUGGUUCAUUGUAGGGUGCUCUCCAGCCUCAUUGGCUUGUAUCCAUUGGAUGCUACCAGCGUGUAGCUGGGAGUCCCCUGGGGUCCAUUUUUAAGGGGCCUUGUUAGGUUUAAAAUCUGGGUUUAAUCCAUCAGUGGAUUAAUCCAUCCACACCUGGAUGGAUGACGGUGGCUGGUGGGAAUGGUGGGCAGGUGGGACAUGGAUGGAGAAAGUGAGGCACUGGGAGCAUGUCCUUGGGGAAUAUACCUUGUCCCAAGUCCCUUUAUCUGUGAUUCUCAUCCACUCCCUUCUGCCAUCUUGUUCUUGCUUACCUCAGACUUUAACAUGGAUCCUGAGAGUCGGGACUGACACAUUCUGACCACAGUAGAAACACACAUCAGCCUCUGACCUUUGCAUGUGGGGCUUUCUGAGCCAGGGAUAUUGCACGAUGCACCUGGAAAACCAGUGGACUAGAUGUCCACUAAAGAUUUGCUGCACACAGAUGGAGAAUGGAAGUCCAGAGUGUGUUGGCCUUUGUGGAAGACCCCACUGGACAUCCUCCAGCUGAGGUGUCCUCCCCAAACCACCAUCAGGGGUUCAACUUCUUCUAUCUCACAAUUGGGGUGGACAUUAGGUUCCAAUAGAUCCCAACAAGUGGGGACCUCCAUGGACCAUCCAUUCCUCACCAGAGACAAAGAUGGCGGCCAAAAGGUUGCAGAUCAUGCAAGACAGGAUGGAGCCCUCCAAAUCUGGACUGAAUCGAGGGAGACCUUCAAUGGAAUGGACAGAGAUGGUCCAAAUCACCUCUUGGGGAUCUGUUUUGGUUCCAUAUGCAACAUAAAAAAAAAUCCCCUGGGGUUUUGUUUGAUUCCAGUGACUUAGACUCAUUAUGCAUCUCUGGAACCGAGUGAGCAGCUCACUGAUUUUUUUAUGUGCUCAGAUAUAUUUUGUAGAGUAUUGGAAACAAAAAGAGGUGGUGCCUCCCAGUUAUAUCCAUCCCCAUUGGCAGAAUCACCCAGAAAAAACAAAAAAUCUUGCCAUUGACAUAUGGGUUUCCGUCCUUCGGGUGAACUCAAAGUCGAUCUCAAGAGAAUAAUGGGAAAAGGAGAAAAAUAGUGAUAAAUGUUCCCCGGGUUCUGCUGGUUUUAAUUAAAACAUUUGUCAUCCCUGAAACUAAUUAGUCAUUACAUAAGAACUUUAUUAUGGCUGCGCCGGAGAAACAUUACCCCGGCUUUUCUGAGCGAAAUUGAAUCUCGAGUAAAUAAUUGUUUAAGUCAGAAUUAAUCACUCCAUAAAUUAUGUAGCCACCGAUGGCUUUAAUGAACUUAUGUUUGUUAAUAAAUGUGUCGAGGUCUUCUCUGCGUUCACACUAACAGGACAAUCGCUUAAUAACUUUAUCGGACACCAAAGUAAAUGAUGCAAUGACUUUAGAUGGGUUAAAAAAAAACAUGUUUCCUAUGCGGGGUGUCUGAGAAUGUCGUGGCUAUUUGGAAGUGAUUGGGUUUUGGUGGUAGGCACCAGAGGACCAAGCAGAUACUGUGGGAUGCGGAUAUGGAUCAAGAGGAAGGUCAGAUGUCCCAAGUUCAGUAAAUGCUAUCAUGGCUCAGUAUGAGGAGCCCCUGGAGUGAUGGUUACCUGCAAUCAUGGCCAGUGGGCAAGUCUUCCAAAGAGAGCCAUACUGCGGAGUGGACCCAUGGGUCCCAGGAGAUCCUACGGCAGAGCAAUGUCCAUCAUCGGCACGGACAACCUGGUGAGGACAGGUUGCUAGACAAAGUGUCCAGGGUUGUCCUGCAGAGCCCUUAGGCAAAACCCAAAUUAUCAUCACUGUCAUUUCCCCUUGAAGAAAAUUCCUCAAGAAACUAGGAAGGGAACCACCAUUUGACCCAGCCAGUCCACUCCUCCAUCUAUACCUAAAGGACUUAAAAUCAUCAUGGUAUAAUUACACAGCCACAUCAAAGUUGAUAGCAUCUCAACUCACAAUAGCUGAACUAUGGAACCGACCUAGGUUCCCUUCAGUAGAUGAAUGGAUAAAUAAAAUGUGGUGUAUACACAAUGGAAUAUUACUCAGUCAUGAAGAAGAAUGGAAUGAUGGCAUUUGCAGGAUACAGUUGAAGACUAUCAAGCUGAGUGAAAUAAGCCAAUCCCAAAUCA